rnacentral:rRNA from 1 species
GUGUCAGCAGCCGCGGUAAUACGUAGGUCCCGAGCGUUGUCCGGAUUUACUGGGUGUAAAGGGUGCGCAGGCGGUCCUGUGCGUCAGAAGUGAAAUAUCACGGCUCAACCGUGAGGGUGCUUUUGAUACGGCAGGACUUGAGUACGAGAGAGGAUGAUAGAAUUCCUGGUGUAGCGGUGAAAUGCGUAGAUAUCAGGAGGAAUACCGGUGGCGAAGGCGGUCAUCUGGCUCGUAACUGACGCUCAGGCACGAAAGUGUGGGUAGCAAACAGGAUUAGAUACCCUGGUAGUCC